AACGAACGCUGGCGGCAGGCCUAACACAUGCAAGUCGAACGCCCUAGCAAUAGGGAGUGGCAGACGGGUGAGUAACACGUGGGAACCUUCCCUAUAGUACGGAAUAUACCAGGGAAACUUGGAGCAAUACCGUAUACGCCCGAGAGGGAAAGAUUUAUCGCUAUAGGAUGGGCCCGCGUAGGAUUAGCUAGUUGGUGAGGUAAUGGCUCACCAAGGCGACGAUCCUUAGCUGGUUUGAGAGAACGACCAGCCACACUGGACUGAGACACGGCCCAGACUCCUACGGGAGGCAGCAGUGGGGAAUAUUGGACAAUGGGCGCAAGCCUGAUCCAGCCAUGCCGCGUGAGUGAUGAAGGCCUUAGGGUUGUAAAGCUCUUUUUGCC
rnacentral:rRNA from 1 species